UUGUGUUUAGUGUAAAAGUGAAAUAAACAAAAGCAAUAAAAUUUAAUAGUUAAAUAUUAAACAAAGAUGAGUUCAUCAGACAGUUCUUAUUCAAUUAGUAGUAUUUUAUUUAAAAAAAAAAAAAAAAAAACGGUUGUCUGUAAAGUCGGUUUACUGACGAUAGUUGAACGUGACAACGUCAUAAGAAAAUACUGAUGGAAUGGUUUCAUUUUUCAAAAGAAAAUUUUAAUUUUAUUCACGUCACAUACAUUACAUACAUCACAUGGAAAAAGUAAAGCACGUAUUGAUUACCAAUAGCGGGAGGAAAUCGCCGGGCUCCCACCCUCCACUGGGGAUGGCGGGCGAGGCAUGUUACAGUCGAACCAACUAAAAACCUCCUGCCGCUCAACAACCAACGUCCGAACCUCGCAUGAGACAGAGCUCAUGAAAAUGCAAAAAGGGGAGAGUAAGGCGUUUAGUGCGGAGCACAUCCCUCCCAUCACCCUCCCCCUCGACCACCAGCCUUCUCGGUCGGCAGGCUAUCCGGAGCCCGUCCAGAUGGCGUCAAUAACAUCACCGCUGGGGAAUCCGUUUACGGAUACCCGGUCGAGAGGGGUAAUAGGCCGGGUUAUGUCGGACUCCGGCGCCUCCAGAGAAGAAGAGGGAGAAGAGGAAGACCAAAGUCCUCCUCUUCUUCCAAUUCCUACCGGGAGACUACGCCUUGAGAAAGGCGCGCCAGGCUACCACGUAGGACCCGCCCCGCAAAACCGACUACCGACUAAACCCCAUCGAGCUCCACCACUCCGACUCCACGAAACUGUGCUGAGCGUCAUCAUCCGGAUGCCCGCACUGGUGACAACCCGGAUGUGGCUCUCUCCUGCAGACCCUCCACAGGUACCUCCCGAAGCAGCCAUGCCCCGAGAGGACCUGCGUAAGGCGGUAUAAAACUAACCUAUUGUCAUCGCUUCUUGAUGUGAGCAUGAAGAUUUCACAGAUGGUUAAGAAGCCAUUAACGUUGGUCCGACCAGAUCACCAAGCAAGACAACGGACCACUUUGCGCUGCACUACACCAGGCAACUGACCAGAACCGAUGGAGGGAGGCAGUCGACAAGCUGAAAAGGAGUCACGAGAAGAAGAAGAAGAAGCCACUGUUAUUACACAUAUAAAAUCCAUAUAUAAACACGAAAAAACUGUUAGGUUGACUUGACAGCUGACGUUACCGCCAAAAAUUGCGGACUUCAAUCAUUCUUAUUCUGUCAUUUCUAAUGAAAUGUCAAAGAUUUCGUCAAAGCGUAAUGUAUUGGUUUGGCCCUCAUUACCCGUCCCUUGAAGCAGAACAAAAUAUGUCCCUUGUCGCUACUGGCCUUUUUAAGGGCAGAGUGCCUUAAUUGGUCCCAUUGAGACUGAGUCUGCACUGUUUCGUUGUAUUUUGUUUUAUUUGUGAACAAAUUUUUUUAGUCCUUACGUUUUAUAUGCAGCAUUGGUCAAUGUUAAUAAUAAUAGAAUUGUAACAUGACGGAUGUUUUGAAACAGAAAACGCUAUUUAUUUAUUUGUCGGAACUGUGUACGUUAACUUGGCAAUGAUAAGCGUCAAUAAUUUUAGGCGGUUUAAGCUGUAUAACAAAUAAAAAUGUCACACGAUUUUUAUUGAAUAUUGAAUUGAAGGGAUGAAGUCGUCGUGGCCUAAAAGAUAGGAGGCUUACUUACUUGUAUCGACCAAUGCGACUGUAUCGGUGUUCAAAUACAAUAUACGAAUAUGAAAUUUUGCUUUGUAGCCAGUAGUAGUCAAGCUCGAUUGAGGCGUUUUUUUUUUUUUAAUGCUUUGAUUGGUGGAUGAUCUUACAGCCCACCUGGUGCUAAGUGGUUACUGGAGCCCAUGGACAUCUACAACAUAAAUGCGCCACCCACCUUGAGAUAUAAGUUCUAAGAUCUCAGUAUAAUUACAACGGCUGCCCCAACCUUCAAACCGAAACGCAUUACUGUUUCACGGCAGAAAUAGACAGGGCGGUGGUACCUACCCGCGCGGACUCACAAGAGGUCCUACCACCAGUAGACCAGUUUUACCUGUAUUUUCUGAUUUAUAGCCAUUAUCUCUGCAAUAUAAACAGACCUACAGAAAUUUCGGCCAGUAUCGCAUAUUGACUCAAAUAUGGGACCUAUAAUUUUAUCCAAAAGCAAGAUACUAAAACACAAUUUCGACUUGUAGGAACAGUAAUGGGGCUUAGAAAGAAAACCGCGUUGUCUAUGAUAAUUAUAACAGAAACAACAUGACAUACUUCUAAAGCUGUUUUGUCAAUGUAAUAAUAUCGUGUGUUAUAAAUAAGUUGAACACGAAAAAGUUCAUCCGUAUCAAUUCUGUUCGCUAUUGUUAUGUUCGCGAAACUUUUCCGAACAAAUAACAAACAAGAUAAGGCAUCUUAACAACUGUAAAUUCGCUUGCGACAAAGCGAAACUCGAAAGAGAGAACGAAAGUUGCAGGAGGGUGGAGGAAAAAGUCGAUGUAAUAUUUUUCUAUUAUACUGCCGCGUGUAAUCUAAAAAAAAACGGUACCUUUUACUAGUGGAUACUCUUAGAGGUUAUUUUAACAAACAUCUGUUACAGAUAUAACAAAUAAUGAGUCCAUUGUGCAGGGCUUGCAUGGAGGUAAAUGAAACAAUAGAUCACGUCUUGUUGAAAUGCGACGAAGUGAGAGAUUCUCAGGUGAAAUAGCCGGUCGUUUAGAACCUUAAGAGACAUGUUGAUUUCUUAGAGGAACUGGGGAUGAUCCAGAGAGACGAAAUGUUGUUAGAGACCAGCAACUAAUCCUUUUGUAGGGUUUAUUUAAAACUACUUUUACGGUUUAAUCUAGCAUUUUUAAUCAUCAUUUUAAUAUUUCCGUGCGGUUCCGUCGUUCGCAACCCCGAAAAUUUUGAAUAAUUCGAAACAUCGGAAAUAGUGUUGUAAGGUUUAUGAUUAUUUAUAUCAUUAUGAUUAUAUAGAAUCAUGUAGAUAUUAAGGAUUAUUAAUGAAGUUUAUAUUGCAAAACCUUUAAAAUAUGAUUGUUUAUUAGUUGGUCAAUUGAUUGCUUUUAAAGUCACUUGACUAAGCCACGUGACCGGCCAAGAGGAAAUAGCCGGGUGAGACAUAUUUAAAAGUGAAUGCAGGCAGUCGAGGAGUAGUAGUUGAAUAAGACGCAGCAAUUGAAAAUUGGCAGAUUAAAUCAGAGUGCGAAUAAA